UGUUCCCCGGUCGUUUUUGCCUCGCGGGUGAUCCCUUUCCCAGGCUCUGCGGCCGGCGCGGGCCUCCAGAGUCUGGGCCGUGCUCUCCCCUCCGCCGGCCGCGCGCUCGCCUCCUGGCGCCUCCUGAGGCCGCAGCUCCGGGAGCGCGGGCGGCGGGGCGUGAGCGGUGCCUUCGCCGCCAUCUUAGGGAGCGAGAGCCGGGGGUGCGCGAACCGCUUGGCCCGUCCGGCUCGACGCGGCGGAGCCCUCCUUGCCAACCGAGAGGCCAAGUUAUCACCCUGCAGGACCGGGAGGAAGUGCUGAUGAGAAGGGGAUUUGUGCUUCCCGGGGAUUGAGGGUCCAUACCGGGGGGUGGGCUCGACCUCCCGGAGAAACGCUUGGGUCACCCUUCAGAGUUGACGGGAUGGAUUGGAGCUAGACCCAGUACCAGCCUAGGCUAGCCAAGGGGCCUGAGCUGUGUCUGACCGUUUUUUUGAGGCAGGAAUGGCUUCCGUCCAUGAAGAGCAUUAUUAGCACACAACCUGGUACCUCCAACUACGGUUGAUAAGGCACAGCCUCUAAUACCUCCUGGUUCAAGCGUAUUCGUCCAAUUCUCCUCACACUGGAGUCCAGCAGGCACGUGCCCCCGGGCUCGCCAAUACCCCAAAGCUCCAACAUUUGCAGCUAAGCAGCUUAUCCGAGACAAUAACAUAUUGGAAGUAGAGCCUUAAGAAGUCAGUUCUCUUGAGGCUUAAUUUUUGCACCUGCAAAAUAAGGGAUUUGGGCCGGCAUGAGUUCACUGUUAAAAUAAGACUGAGCUCUGUUUCUGUACCGCAGACCUUGUGCUAAGUGUUUUACAUACAUUAUCUCAUUUAAUCCUGACACCUGUUUUAUUGGAUACAUAAUAUUCUCAUUUUAGGGAAAACAAGCCGUCAUUUUUAUCUUGCCUCCCCGUGCCAUGAAAUACUAGGUAAAGACAUUCUAGGAACCAACUAUUAGAACAAUAGAUUUAAGGGUAAUGCUGAAGGCCUUGAUAGUUUCGUAAUUAUUUGUAGUCUUGAUUGUAAGUUGCGAUACAGUAGUUAACAGUGAAAACAAGCAUGGGCUAAAGUAAAAGGAGGCCAUGAUCCACUGUGAUGGUGGUGGACAAAAAUGACGCCAUGAUGACUAACAGCAGUUAAAACUUCACAUUUAGAAUGCUCCUUUUGCAACGUUUACAGCUCCAGCCCUCGGCCAGGAUGCUGGUUAGGACUGCGGGAUGACACUCCCGGGCUGGGAACAGCUUUGCUGCUGCAGCCCUAUUGUCUGCUAGUGUGACUGUUUUCCCACUCAGCUGUUGCUUCUCACUGCUCUCCUCUCCGUGAGCAGAGUUCUGUUAUCCUCCCCACCCUUUUAAUUUACUGCUUUUAAUCUUCACCAAAGGAAACCACAUAAUGAAGCUUGUGCAAAACUGUCUCAAGGGUAUAAAUAGACACUUUGAGGCAGUGUCCUUUAGGAAAAGUGUGACCUUUGCGCUCAGAACAUUGUAACAUCAGUUUCAGGCAAUUUAGAGACUUCUUUAUUCCUAGCUUCUGGUACCAUCAUUUUACUUUCAGAAUGCAUACUUUUAUUUACAUGAAUUCUUACAGUUGGGAUAUUUUUCCUUUUAUGAGAAUUAGAUGUAUGUCUUCUAAUUGUAGUAAGGUUAAUAUUUAAUUUUAAUGUUACCAUUAUACUAGCUCAAAUAGCCAAGCUACAAUGCAAGCUAUAGAAUUCAAAACAUGAUACACUGAUAGAUUAUAUGUUUGUAUACAUGUAUAUAUGUUAUAUAUAUAUGAUAUAUAUAUAUAUAUAAUCCUUUUGCUUCUCAAUAGUCAGUUCUGACAGGAACUCUUUUCAGAUCAUCUUUAAAGCUGUAUGGUUGUAUCUUCAUAUGUAUCAUACAUAUAUUUCAGAAAUAACUUGUUAGGGAAUCUUAGGAAAGACCCAGCAGAGCUUUAACAACUAUUGCAUUUAUAAUGAAAAAUAUAAUCUGAGCUUAAGAAAGGUAUCUUACAUUCCUUGACAUUUCAAUAAACUAUCAAUACAUUAUUUUUUCUGAAUUCUAAAUAUGAGGCAGGCAUACCUCCUGUGCGUACAAUUCCAAGUUAGUUUUUCUGUGAAUUUUAAUCGUUGUUUUCUUUGAACUUUGUUUCUGCUCUAAGACUGUAGUGACUCGGAGAGCCAUGGGCAAACACAGUUGUGUCUGAAACACUUGAGGAAAAGCAACUUGAUUCCCUCUGUCUAUACUUUACCAAGUGCUGUAGCAUAGCCUUAAAGUCAACACUGACUCAGAGACCCCAAACUCACAGCAUUGCUUUUCUAGAACACCAAACUGCAUCAGUUUCUACAGCUCCAGCUACAGAGGGUGAAGCACUCACUCAGUGAUGCGUGGAUAAGUGGAUCGAAAAUGGAGCCUCAUGAAUGAAGUCUCGUGACAAGUCUGAUCAACGGUAUAUACUGAGAGACCACCAUGGGGCAACUUCCAGUAAAUCCAUCGUUAGAAGUAGUUUGCUUAAGUCUGUUAUUCUUCGUCCGUUCACUUCCAGUCUUUUCUCCA